rnacentral:rRNA from 1 species
AGCGAACGCUGGCGGCGUGCCUAACACAUGCAAGUCGAGCGAACCAGGAGUAAAGGUAACUUUGUUCUUGGUUCGCGGCGAACGGGUGAGUAACACGUGGGUAACCUGCCCUCAGGAGGGGGAUAACUCGGGGAAACUUGAGAUAAUACCCCAUAAGACCACAAGCUGAGAUGCUUGUGGUAAAAGGAGCAAUCCACCUGAGGAUGGGCCCGCGGCCUAUCAGGUAGUUGGUAGGGUAAUGGCCUACCAAGCCUAUGACGGGUAGCCGAGCUGAGAGGCUGGCCGGCCACACUGGGACUGAGACACGGUCCAGACUCCUACGGGAGGCAGCAGUGGGGAAUAUUGGGCAAUGGGCGAAAGCCUGACCCAGCGACGCCGCGUGGGGAAGAAGGCCUUCGGGUUGUAAACCCUUUUGCAGAGGACGACUAAAGACUGUACUCUGCGAAUAAGCCACGGCUAACUCUGUG